GACGGAGGGCGCGGGCGUUAUUCGUUAUGAUUGGGUGUAAAGGGUACGUAGGCUGCUGUUGAUAAUUUUUGGCUAAAAACGCGGAGUGUUCCUACGCGACAGCCUUUUAUAGAUUCAGCUAGUGUUGGAAAUAGGUUAGGGCAAUUUCUUAUGUAGGGGUAAAAUCCUACGAGAUAAGAACGAAGACCAGAUGGCGAAGGCGCCUUUCUAGUUCCAACAGACGCUAAGGUACGGAAGCCUAGGGAGCAAACAGA
rnacentral:rRNA from 1 species